CACGUAGGGGGCAAGCGUUGUCCGGAAUUAUUGGGCGUAAAGAGCUCGUAGGCAGCUCGGUAAGUCAGGUGUCAAAUCCUCAGGCUCAACCUGGGGCUCCACCUGAUACUGCUGUGGCUAGAGUCCGGUAGGGGAGAGUGGAAUUCCUGGUGUAGCGGUGAAAUGCGCAGAUAUCAGGAAGAACACCCGUGGCGAAGGCGGCUCUCUGGG
rnacentral:rRNA from 1 species